GAUAAAAUGACAUCCACUCCGCUGACACACACUCAAUGGGCCAGACCCCAGCCACCAGCUGUGUCCACAAUUCAGGAGUCACUGUCUGAUCGAGAAGCCUAUUUCUCUGUGAGGGAGUUGAGAAAAUGGCCAGCAGUAGUAGCAGUGAGGAAGAAAGAAGAACUGUUCCACAAGAGGAAGCAAGGAUUGACUGGGAUGAUGACACAUGGGAUGAAAGUUGGACUCCAAAUACAGAGACACAAUCACAGUCAUCCUCAGAAGAAGAUGAGACCGAGGAGGUUGAACUCUCAGAAGAACACGAGACCUGUGAAACCCCCGCUGACGUGGAUGAAGCAGAAGACCUGGAUCCUCCAAUUUGCAUUAGGUAUGUGUAUUAUUAUUAUUUUAUCAUUUUGUAAUGGAAAAUAUUUUGAUG